rnacentral:rRNA from 1 species
UGCUGGGCGCAAGCCUGAUCCAGCCAUGCCGCGUGCGGGAUGAGGCCUUCGGGUUGUAACCGCUUUUGUCAGGGAAGAUAUCGUCUGGGCUAGUACCUCAGGAGGAUGACGGCUCCUGAAGAAUAAGCACCGGCAUACUACGUG